GACGAACGCUGGCGGCGUGCUUAACACAUGCAGGUCGAACGGAAAGGCCCUGCUUUUGCGGGGUGCUCGAGUGGCGAACGGGUGAGUAACACGUGAGUAACCUGCCCUUGACUUUGGGAUAACUUCAGGAAACUGGGGCUAAUACCGGAUAGGAGCUCCUGCUGCAUGGUGGGGGUUGGAAAGUUUCGGCGGUUGGGGAUGGACUCGCGGCUUAUCAGCCUGUUGGUGGGGUAGUGGCUUACCAAGGCUUUGACGGGUAGCCGGCCUGAGAGGGUGACCGGCCACAUUGGGACUGAGAUACGGCCCAGACUCCUACGGGAGGCAGCAGUGGGGAAUAUUGCACAAUGGGCGGAAGCCUGAUGCAGCAACGCCGCGUGCGGGAUGACGGCCUUCGGGUUGUAAACCGCUUUCGCCUGUGACGAAGCGUGAGUGACGGUAAUGGGUAAAGAAGCACCGGCUAACUACGUG
rnacentral:rRNA from 1 species